rnacentral:lncRNA from 10 species
AUUUCAGCAUAAGCAUCAUGGGCACUAAAUGUUUGCAAAGGUUCGAACACUGUUUCCAAAUAAUAAUGAAUGAAAAUCUUGUACUUUCUUUUUUACCUUUAAUUCUAUAUUAUUUUUUCCUUUGCCUUAAAUUCAUAGCCAAUUACAGUAACAGAGGUGAAUAUUUUCGUGAGAUCUCAGAUGCCAAUAUCCAGAAGUACGCGGCUGGCUCCAGUAUUUUUGAAAACGCACUUAAACCACAUCUGAGAAUUGGGCAAUGAAAAGAAGACAUCAUUGGAUACUAUAUCUGACCUUUGCUUUUGCUACCAGCAACAUAAAGUAAUACCAUUUACUGCACAGGUCAAAUCGAAAAACCAUGUGAAGAUGCCAUGGCCUUUUUUUUCUCCAGAGCUACCAGUCACACUUCCUAAAUCUUCAUACCCAAGGAGGGUGACCUUCACAGACUACAUGGUUCUCCAGCCGAAUAUAUGCACUUUCCCGCUGGAUCCACCAAACAAAUAAAUAAUGGAUUCAUGUCUUUCAGAACCUGAAGCAUGGUAACAGGUGAUGUGCUGAGAAGAAAAGGAACUUCACUAUCUAGAAGUCUCACCCAAUAGCAUCUUCUACCACUGAAUUUAGAGCUCUCCUGGGCCAGCAAGUAACCACUUCCACUGAAAAUCCUCAGACCUGGCCUGUUAAAGACAAUAAAAGUGAACAAAACCCUAAACUGUACCAAGAUCCACGAUGAAAACAUGACGCACAAUCAGUUUGGAGCCAAUGGCCUCUUGAAGUAUGAGAGAUCAACCUCAGUGUGUCUAGACUGUGUAAUGCCAUCUUAUCCCCAUGUAUCAGGAAUUAGCAGAAGACUCUAGUGAAUAAUCUCCUUGUUGUAGGCAAAGAUACUUGUCCCCUGAGAUGACCCAUGAUGAACAGGGAUAUGAUAUCCAUGGACAUCUUGGCCUACUUGAUUAUUUUUUAAAUGUUGUAUCAUUGUGUAUUGACUAUUUAUCAUGGCUAAGGUUAGAGAACAGAGAAGAGAAGGCAAGGGCAUGGCAGGAACUGAGAAAUUAUGCUUUAACAAGGGAAAGUCAAAUGGUCUCCUUUUUUAGGAAAGCAUCCUAGUAUGCUCCCCUGCCAUCCUACUCCUUCUGACUCUGACUACCCCGUAAUGUUUAUUGUCACCACUAACAAUGUAUGUCUCUAGGGUCUGGCAGACCUCAAGAAAACAGUGAAAAUUCCAAUAUCAAUUACUCACAAAUAAAUGGGUUUUGAUGGAAUCACGAAGUUGGGCUUAUUACUGGCUCCUUUUAUGUGCAAUGAUUAAAAAGCCAACAGGUAUAUCAAGACACUAAAAAAGCAAUGGCAAUCCUUGACUUGCUACAUGCAGGAAAAAGAUGAGAAAAAAAUAAACUUAAAUUAUUAGCUCGUUGCACAGAGACUUCUGGCUGAGAAGUUCAAAUUCAAGCUAAUCCACCUGUUUCCAGUGUGCUGGAGAAAGAGAGAUAUUCCUUGUCUCCGAUUUAUUAUGUGUUCUUGUUUUAUAUGGGCUUUGUAGGUGGUCUCUGAACUUUCAUUGCCAGGUAAGAUGAGACCUAUUGGCAGUAGAGCCCCAUACAUUUGGUUUGGAGCAAUGGAAGUAGUGUUGAACUAGGAGACAGGAGACCUGGGUCCUUAUCCUGCCCCUGUUUUUUAUUAGCUGUGUGACCUGGCAUAAAUUGCUUAAUAUCUCAGGUCUCUAUUUCAUUUUAUAAAUGAGGAAACUGCUUCCUGACUUCCUGGCCUUACAAGGUGGUUUUGAGGUAAUUAGGUAACAUGAAUUAGGAAAUUAGGUAAUGUGAAUUAAAGCACUUUUGUUUAAGCACUUUGAACAAAAAGGAUGCAAGCAGUUAACACAUUCAAGGACUCAUUACUGCAGAUAAAAAUUGGCUCUGGGCUUUUCUUGUAACUCCAUUCAGGGCAUGCUGCCAAAUCUAACAAAAGCAAUCAAUUCCCAAGCACCAUUUUAAAGACUCACAUUCACAUACACUCUGCCUUUUGACCUCACCUCUAUACUAAAACUGGUUUCCUGAAGGUCACCAAUGAUUUUUCUAAUCAUUUAACAUUGACUUUUCCUCAGUUUCUAUCCUCAACCUCUCCAUAGCUAUGAUGCCACUUGUCAUCUACUCCUUGAAAUUUCCUUCCACAGGUGAACCUGAACUCUUCAAGCUCCUCUCUGGUGUCUUUAACUGAUUCUUCUCCAUUGAUUUCUUUUUCUAUUCCUCAAAUAUAGGCAUUCUCCCAGGUUUUGUUCUUGUUCCCCUUCUCUAAGUCCUUGGCAAUUUCUUUUAUUUCAAGUCUUUAAGUUGUGCCACGGUGCCCCUCAGAACCACCAUGUCCAUUUGAUGUCAGCAUCAUCAUCCCUUCCAUGAUCUACACACAUGAUCAUGGCUCAUUAUAUUCUUAGUCACAGAGGUGAGAAACUUCAUUUAGUUUGGUCUUAUGCCUCUGUCCCACUGUGAUUAAUGCUGCCAAUAUUCCUCCAAAAUAUUCUGACUGCCCCCUCCCAUCUAGGCCCUAAUAAUCUCUCACCAAGAGUCCUUUAAAACCUCCAACCUAUGGGAGUAAUCAUCCUUAAAGCAGAGCUCCAGUCAUUUCUGAUGACUCUGUUUUUCACACAUAUUCUCCUCUGACUUCCCCAUCCCAUACAGGGCAUCAUAGCCUGGUAACUGUAUGUUCCCCUCACCUGAGCUUCAACCUACCUGUUGGGGGAUGCAUUCAUGACUUCCCCACAUAUGUUCAGGAUUCCAACCAAACUUAAUUUUGUAACCCCAAACACCCAAUAUUUAUCACACAAGUAAUAAAUGAAUGAAUGUAUGUGUAUUCAGUUUCCUUCAUUUCUUGUGUCUGGGCAUAUUUUUUUCUACUUACUCCAUCAGUGACAACAUUUCUGGUCAUUUCUAUCUCUCAAAACCCUAUUGAUUACAAGACUCAGUACAAAUGCCCCUCCUUCUUAAAGCUUUC